UACGGAGGGUGCAAGCGUUGUCCGGAAUCACUGGGUGUAAAGGGUGUGUAGGCGGAGCUGUAAGUCAGAGGUGAAAUCCUGCGGCUCAACCGUAGAACUGCCUUUGAUACUGCAGCCCUUGAGUCUCGGAGAGGUUGCUGGAAUUCGUGGUGUAGCGGUGAAAUGCGUAGAUAUCACGAGGAACACCAGAGGCGUAGGCGGGCAACUGGACGAGAACUGACGCUGAGGCACGAAAGCGUGGGGAGCAAACAGG
rnacentral:misc_RNA from 1 species